GAAGCACUAGUGCAGGAAGAGAAGGCGAACAUAAGCAAGUCAGGAGGGAGACUAAUGUAUGCACGUAUGUAUAUGGUUACUUUCAGGACAAUCUGACAAGACUAAUGAUGGUCUGAAGCUGGAGGCUCAAGGGUGGUGACUGGGAUGCUGAAGCACAGAAAGAAAGGAGCAAGAGCAAAGCCAUGCGAAAUCAUCUACUUGCAAGGAAAUCUACAAUAUCCUGACCACCAAUAUGAACAGGAAUAGCAUACGCACACAGGAAACAUUUUCCUGCACUGUACUACGAAAUGCCACAACACAAGCGUGAUUCACUUGCUGAUCCAUGGUGCAAAAGAAAAAGCUCAAGAAGCGUGUAUUCUCAAUCAACAAUCAGGAAAUAAGGAUGGCUGCAGAUCCAUGACAUUUUUAAUAAGAUCUGCCCCUUGUCCUACUCUAUCCAAGAAGACUCAGUCUGCAGCACCGUGGAAGGAGUCAAACAUUUUGGAAGACAAAUGCUGGAACCAGAAAGGGAAAUGCUGAAGAAGCCACUUGUCCAAAUUAAGAGCUCCAAUCACUUUCUCAUCGGGGAACAGCUAAAGAGGAUCAUGGCAGGGCACCAACAUUUUUGCCUCCACACCUUUCUAAUCUGGGCCACUCAUGGCGAUGGGAUGAGGGGAAGCAGUAUGAGGAACAGCUGAGGUCACCUGGCUUGUUCAGCCUGGAGGACA